rnacentral:rRNA from 1 species
AACGAACGCUGGCGGCAUGCCUAACACAUGCAAGUCGAACGAGACCUUCGGGUCUAGGGGCGCACGGGUGCGUAACGCGUGGGAAACUGCCCUUAGGUUCGGAAUAACUCCCCGAAAGGGGUGCUAAUACCGGAUAAUGUCUUCGGACCAAAGAUUUAUCGCCCUUGGAUGGGCCCGCGUUGGAUUAGCUAGUUGGUAGGGUAAAAGCCUACCACGGGGACGAUCCAUAGCUGGUCUGAGAGGAUGAUCAGCCACACUGGGACUGAGACACGGCCCAGACUCCUACGGGACGGAGCAGUGGGGAAUACUGGAAAGGGGGCGAAAGCCUGAGCGCGCAAUGGCGCGUGAGUGAUGAAGGCAUUAGGGUUGUAAAGCUCUUUUACCCGGGAUGAUAAUGACAGUACCGGGAGAAUAAGCUCCGGCUAACUCCGUG